rnacentral:rRNA from 1 species
AACGAACGCUGGCGGCAUGCCUAACACAUGCAAGUCGAACGAGAUCUUCGGGUCUAGUGGCGCACGGGUGCGUAACGCGUGGGAAUCUGCCCUUAGGUUCGGAAUAACAGUUGGAAACGACUGCUAAUACCGGAUGAUGACGAAGGUCCAAAGAUUAUCGCAAGAGGAUGAGCCCGCGUAGGAUUAGCUAGUUGGUGUGGUAAAGGCGCACCAAGGCGACGAUCCUUAGCUGGUCUGAGAGGAUGAUCAGCCACACUGGGACUGAGACACGGCCCAGACUACUACGGGAGGCAGCAGUGGGGAAUAUUGGACAAUGGGCGAAAGCCUGAUGCACCAAUGCCGCGUGAGUGAUGAAGGCCUUAGGGUUGUAAAGCUCUUUUACCCGGGAUGAUAAUGACAGUACCGGGAGAAUAAGCUCCGGCUAACUCCGUGCCAGCCGCCGCGGUAA